rnacentral:sRNA from 1 species
UAUUCUGCCCUGCGGGGAAGGAUGAGAAGCUUCGACUAAGGUUCGACUCGAGCGUCAGCGAGAGAACGUUGCCGCAGGCAACGGCCCGAAGGGCGAGGAGCGAUAGCGACGAGUUAUCCUUCCCCCACUACUG